GACGAACGCUGGCGGCGUGCUUAACACAUGCAAGUCGAACGCUGAAGCUUGGUGCUUGCACUGGGUGGAUGAGUGGCGAACGGGUGAGUAAUACGUGAGUAACCUGCCCUUGACUCUGGGAUAAGCCUGGGAAACUGGGUCUAAUACUGGAUACGACAUGUCACCGCAUGGUGGUGUGUGGAAAGGGUUUUACUGGUUUUGGAUGGGCUCACGGCCUAUCAGCUUGUUGGUGGGGUAAUGGCUCACCAAGGCGACGACGGGUAGCCGGCCUGAGAGGGUGACCGGCCACACUGGGACUGAGACACGGCCCAGACUCUUACGGGAGGCAGCAGUGGGGAAUAUUGCACAAUGGGCGGAAGCCUGAUGCAGCGACGCCGCGUGAGGGAUGACGGCCUUCGGGUUGUAAACCUCUUUCAGCACGGAAGAAGCGAAAGUGACGGUACGUGCAGAAGAAGCGCCGGCUAACUACGUG
rnacentral:rRNA from 1 species